GACAGAGGUGGCUAGCGUUGUUCGGAUUCAUUGGGUGUAAAGGGUGCGUAGGCGGUUUAGAAAGUCAAAUGUGAAAGCCCACAGCUCAACUGUGGAAAUGCAUCUGAAACUACUAGACUCGAGUGCGAGAGAGGUGAAGGGAAUUCCCGGUGUAAGGGUGAAAUCUGCAGAGAUCGGGAGGAACACCAGUAGCGAAGGCGCUUCACUGGCUCGUAACUGACGCUGAGUGCACGAAGGCGUGGGGAGCAAAC
rnacentral:rRNA from 1 species